AUUGAACGCUGGCGGCAGGCCUAACACAUGCAAGUCGAGCGGUAACAUUUCUAGCUUGCUAGAAGAUGACGAGCGGCGGACGGGUGAGUAAUGCUUGGAAAUCUGCCUGGUAGUGGGGGACAACAGUUGGAAACGACUGCUAAUACCGCAUAACCUCUUCGGAGCAAAGUGGGGGACCCUCGGGCCUCACGCUACCAGAUGAGUCCAAGUGGGAUUAGCUAGUUGGUGAGGUAAAGGCUCACCAAGGCGACGAUCCCUAGCUGGUUUGAGAGGAUGAUCAGCCACACUGGAACUGAGACACGGUCCAGACUCCUACGGGAGGCAGCAGUGGGGAAUAUUGCACAAUGGGCGCAAGCCUGAUGCAGCCAUGCCGCGUGUGUGAAGAAGGCCU
rnacentral:rRNA from 1 species